UCCAGAUUUUUGGGAUGUCAGUGCUACA
rnacentral:piRNA from 1 species